rnacentral:lncRNA from 1 species
GAGGAAACAAAUUCCAUCUUCAACACAGCACUUGCAGAGGUAGAAUUAACUCAGAAAGAGGCUGGACAACUUGGCCUGGAACCCACUGUGGGAAACUUUGGUAACUAUCAGCUGUGGUUUGCUUUUCUGCACCACUGACUCAGCAACCCUGCAGUUGGGCACUGGGAGAGUCAGGCUUGUAAAACCGGUAAGACCAAGAGCAGCUAGGCAGGUCAAGGGUCA